rnacentral:rRNA from 1 species
GCGUUAAUCGGAAUUACUGGGCGUAAAGCGUGCGCAGGCGGCUUUGCAAGACAGAUGUGAAAUCCCCGGGCUCAACCUGGGAACUGCAUUUGUGACUGCAAGGCUAGAGUACGGCAGAGGGGGAUGGAAUUCCGCGUGUAGCAGUGAAAUGCGUAGAUAUGCGGAGGAACACCAAUGGCGAAGGCAAUCCCCUGGGCCUGUACUGACGCUCAUGCACGAAAGCGUG